rnacentral:rRNA from 1 species
UGCAAGUCGCGGGGCAGCACAGGUAGCAAUACUGGGUGGCGACCGGCGCACGGGUGAGUAACACGUAUGCAACCUCCCUCUAACUGGGGCAUAGCUCGGCGAAAGUCGAAUUAAUUCCCCAUAAUAUCAAUGGAAGGCAUCUUCUGUUGAUUAAAGCUCCGGCGGUUAGAGAUGGGCAUGCGUACCAUUAGCUAGUUGGUGAGGUAUCGGCUCACCAAGGCUACGAUGGUUAGGGGGUCUGAGAGGAUGAUCCCCCACACUGGUACUGAGACACGGACCAGACUCCUACGGGAGGCAGCAGUGAGGAAUAUUGGUCAAUGGGCGAAAGCCUGAACCAGCCAUGCCGCGUGAAGGAUGAAGGCCCUCAGGGUUGUAAACUUCUUUUGUACGGGACGAAACCCCUGAACGUGUUCGAGGCUGACGGUACCGUACGAAUAAGCAACGGCNNNNNNCGUGCCAGCAGCCGCGGUAAUACGGAGGUUGCAAGCGUUAUCCGGAUUCAUUGGGUUUAAAGGGUGCGUAGGCGGGACGGUAAGUCAGUGGUGAAAGCCUGCAGCCUAACUGUAGAAUUGCCAUUGAUACUGCUGUUCUUGAGUGCAGCUGAGGUGGGCGGAAUGUGUAGUGUAGCGGUGAAAUGCUUAGAUAUUACACAGAACACCGAUUGCGGAGGCAGCUCACUAAACUGUAACUGACGCUGANGCACGAAAGCGUGGGGAGCAAACAGGANUAGAUACCCUGGUAGUCCACGCCCUAAACGAUGAUCACUCGCUGUUGGCGACAUACUGNCAGCGGCUAAGCGAAAGCAUUAAGUGAUCCANNUGGGGAGCACGCUCGCAAGA